rnacentral:rRNA from 1 species
UAAAGGGAUACCGUCAAGGCCGGCUCUUCACCGGCUUUAUUCUUCUCCCUCCACAGAGCUUUACGAUCCUAGGACCUUCAUCGCUCACGCGGCGUGGCUGCGUCAGGCUUUCGCCCAUUGCGCAAUAUUCCCC